UCCGCAAUAGUUUAGAAGUAGAACAUCAAACCGACAAAUUGGUAUGCUGCGGGUUUGAUUCCCGUUCGCGGAA
rnacentral:tRNA from 1 species